rnacentral:rRNA from 1 species
AGAAUCAACGCUGGCGGCGCGCCUAACACAUGCAAGUCGAACGAGAAAGUGGAGCAAUCCAUGAGUAAAGUGGCGUACGGGUGAGUAACACGUGGAUAAUCUGCCCUUUAGUGGGGAAUACCGCUGGGAAACCGGCGACAAUACCGCAUAAGCUCGAGAGAGGAAAGCAGCAAUGCGCUGAAGGAGGAGUCCGCGGUCGAUUAGUUAGUUGGCGGGGUAAAGCCCACAAGACUGUGAUCGAUA